rnacentral:rRNA from 1 species
GACGAACGCUGGCGGCGUGCCUAAUACAUGCAAGUAGAACGCUGAAGGAGGAGCUUGCUUCUCUGGAUGAGUUGCGAACGGGUGAGUAACGCGUAGGUAACCUGCCUGGUAGCGGGGGAUAACCUAUUGGAAACGAUAGCUAAUACCGCAUAAGAGUAGAUGUUGCAUGACAUUUCUUAAAAGUGCAAUUGCAUCACUACCAGAUGGACCUGCGUUGUAUUAGCUAGUUGGUGAGGUAACGGCUCACCAAGGCGACGAUACAUAGCCGCCUGAGAGGGUGAUCGCCACACUGGGACUGAGACACGGCCCAGACUCCUACGGGAGGCAGCAGUAGGGAAUCUUCGGCAAUGGACGGAAGUCUGCCGAGCAACGCCGCGUGAGUGAAGAAGGUUUUCGGAUCGUAAAGCCUCUGUUGUAAGAGAAGAACGAGUG